UCAGUUUGCAUAGUCAUUCUCCAUUCUUCAGUGAUGAGAGAAUAUACCUGAACUGUUCCUACACAGUCUAGAGGCUUCCCCAUUACACACCCAAAACCUCUCCUCUUCCUCUUUGGCUGGGUGGUGCAAACUUGGCCUCAGCAAAGCAUCCACUACUUUCACAAGUGGCCAAUUGUUUGAGUCAUUAACCAUUGUGAUUUCAGUCUCUCACAGAGUGCUAUUACCUGAAGGUGGGAACGUAUAGUCUUCUUUCUUGUCCCUUCAGCCCCCUGCAUUGCUCAUGAUCCAGCCCUUAAGCUCUAACUGCAGUUAACCCUGGGAUAUUUCAGAGGCUCACAACAAGCUUUCAACCAAGCAACUUGACCUCAACUGAUCUCCAGGAUAAAUGUGGCUGACAAAUUCAUGUGAAGAAUUUAAAGGAGAAGCAAAUUCUGCAGUGCAACUGUUGACCCAAUUCCUAUUCCUGCCUGUGUGUACUGGAAAAAUACUGUGAGAAAUUCCACUAGGCUGGGAUAGACAGAGACAAGGACAAGAACUGCAAGAUGAGAGAGAGUAUCUAUAAAGGAAAACUGUAUUGCC